UGGUAUUUUUGGUUUUCUAAGGUAUAUUA
rnacentral:piRNA from 1 species